UACAGAGGUCUCAAGCGUUGUUCGGAUUCAUUGGGCGUAAAGGGUGCGUAGGUGGCGGGGCAAGUCUGGUGUGAAAUCCCGGGGCUCAACCCUGGAACUGCACUGGAUACUGCUUUGCUAGAGUACUGGAGAGGGAACUGGAAUUUACGGUGUAGCAGUGAAAUGCGUAGAGAUCAUGAGGAAGACCAGUGGCGAAGGCGGUCUGCUGGGCAGUUGCUG
rnacentral:rRNA from 1 species